UACGAAGGGGGCUAGCGUUGUUCGGAUUUACUGGGCGUAAAGCGCACGUAGGCGGAUCUUUAAGUCAGGGGUGAAAUGCCGAAGCUCAACUUCGGAACUGCCUUUGAUACUGGAGAUCUUGAGUUCGAGAGAGGUGAGUGGAACUGCGAGUGUAGAGGUGAAAUUCGUAGAUAUUCGCAAGAACACCAGUGGCGAAGGCGGCUCACUGGCUCGAUACUGACGCUGAGGUGCGAAAGCGUGGGGAGCAAACAGG
rnacentral:rRNA from 1 species